UCUCUGUGAACCUACAUCUUUGGGUACAGAUGCACUGCUGCCAGUGAGAAGUCAGCAAUUAGCAACAGGACCCCACCCAUAAAUUAACAGUGGUAUCUGGGUAUGAGAUGACGGCAGGGAUUAUAAAGU